UUUUUGUAAGGUCCUGAGAAACCUAAAAACUUUUGAUUUCACUUUGAAUUUCUUAUCUGAUCAUUCACAAUCAUAAUCGAUUUGUAACCUUGUUACGAUUCUCAUCAUUUUGAACUAAUACCUACGAAUCAUUUCGAAAACAUUUCAUCACCAAGUUUUAGGGUUUAUCGUUGUGAUUCAACUGAUCUAUUAAUCGUUUGAUCCGAUUUUAAAAUUGAUUUCAGAUUCGUAAUUAGUGAAUCUAAAUCUACAUCACCCAUCUGAUGUUUUUGAACGGGAACUACUUUCGGAUUUGGACCUAUUUAGAAUUUAUCUGUUAUUAAUUUAUUUUCAUAGCUUUCCUGCUAUUGCAACAAGAUAAUAUGGUUUUCAACCUCUGAUUCUUGAUAACUAACGCAGAGAACUUUCCUUGGCUGUUCCCGGAUAUGUUCUUAAGUUACAUCUUUUUAGAAACCUCAGUCAAAGUUUUAAAUGCAACCAACUCAAUUAAAGGGGAAAUACAAGUAGACUAUGAGAUAGAUUGAUCUGAUGGAGAAGAGGGUGGUUAUGGCAGAGUCGAUGCUGGAGGGUACAUUACAGUACCAAUCUGGUCAAGCUAAGUGUUCAAAUCCAUCAAGAAUGCUAUUGAAUCCAUUGAAAGGGCUGUAGAGCAUGGAAUAAUGAAUUUUCUUAUUUCGUCAGAUUCUACAAUGC